rnacentral:tRNA from 1 species
CGGUGUGUAGCACAGCCUGGUUAGCGCGCGUCGUUCGGGACGACGAUGUCGGAGGUUCGAAUCAUCUCACCCCGA